rnacentral:rRNA from 1 species
GAAAGUAUUCAAGGGCGCACGGCGGAUGCCUAGGCUCUUACAGGCGAUGAAGGACGUGAUAAGCUGCGACAAGCCGCGGUGAGGCGCAAAUGGCCAUUGACCCGCGGGUUUCCGAAUGGGGCAACCCAACGUUUUGAAGAAACGUUAUCCCGCGAAUGCGGGAGGCGAACGCGGGGAACUGAAACAUCUUAGUACCCGCAGGAGAAGAAAAUAAAUAAUGAUUCCCCCAGUAGUGGCGAGCGACCGGGGAAUAGCCCAAACCGGCGUUGUCCAGGCAUCGCCGGGGUUGUAGGACCGCGAUGUCGCAAGAGUGAUGGCGAGUGGAAGGAACUGGAAAGUUCCGCCAUAGAGGGUGACAGCCCCUUACACGAAGCCAUACGAAGCGUAGCGGAAUCCUGAGUAGCGCGGGACACGUGUAAUCCUGUGUGAAUCAGCCGGGCCCAUCCGGCAAGGCUAAAUACUCGUAAGAGACCGAUAGUGAACCAGUACCGUGAGGGAAAGGUGAAAAGCACCCCUGUUAGGGGAGUGAAAAAGAUCCUGAAACCGUGCGCCUACAAGCGGUCGGAGCGCCCAUUGGGCGUGACGGCGUGCCUUUUGCAUAAUGAACCUACGAGUUGCCGUCACCGGCAAGGCCAAGGGGCAGGAGCCCCGCAGCCGCAGCGGAAGCGAGUCUUAAAAGGGCGCAGGAGUCGGUGGUGGCAGACGCGAAACCGGGUGAUCUACACUUGUCCAGGAUGAAGUCCCGGUAACACGGGAUGGAGGUCCGCACCAAUAAGCGUUGAAAAGCUUCUGGAUGAGGUGAGUGUAGGAGUGAAAGGCCAAUCAAACUCGGAGAUAGCUCGUACUCCCCGAAAGGCAUUUAGGUGCCGCCUGUGGAGUUCCCGGCGCGAGGUAGAGCGACUGAUAGGAUGCGAGGGCUUCACCGCCUGUCAAGUCCUGACAAACUCCGAAUGCGCGCCGGCCAAUCCAUGGAGUAAGGGCACGGGUGCUAAGGUCCGUGCCCGAGAGGAGAAGAAUCCAGACCACCGGCCAAGGUCCCGAAAUGCUGGUUAAGUUAGACUAACGCAGUCCGUCCCCCCAGACAGCUAGGAUGUUGGCUUGGAAGCAGCCAUUCAUUCAAAGAGUGCGUAACAGCUCACUAGUCGAGGGGAUGGGCGUGGAUAAUAAUCGGGUAUGAAACCAGUUACCGAAGCCGUGGGAUAUGAGAAUAUCGGUAGGGGAGCAUUCCAUCCUGCGUCGAAGGCGCCGCGCGAGCGGCUCUGGAGCGGAUGGAAAAGCAAAUGUAGGUAUAAGUAACGAUAAGGAGGGUGCGAUCCCCUCCCGCCGAAAGACCAAGGUUUCCUGAACAACGCCAAUCGGUUCAGGGUGAGUCGGUCCCUAAGCAUAAGCCUAAGGGCGAGGGCGAUGGAUCAAACGGUUAAUAUUCCGUUACUGUCUUGGUGUGUGACGCGGCGACGGAGAAGUGACACGGCCGCCCCCUGACGGAAAAGGGGGUUUAAGCGCAAAGGUUACGAGGGAGGCAGGCAAGCCCACCUCCCGAGCCGAAGCGCGAAAGUACGCGGCGCCCUCCGGGGCAACGCGACAGCGCCGGUAACCAUGCUCCCGAGAAAACCCGCUAAACUCCAGCACCAGGUCAUCCGUACCGUAAACGGACACACGUGGUCGGGUAGAACAUACUAAGGCGCUUGGGAGAUUCACGGUUAAGGAACUAGGCAAAUUGACCCCGUACCUUCGGAACAAGGGGUCCUCGUGUAAACGAGGCGCAGAGAAUAGGUCCAGGCAACUGUUUAACAAAAACACAGGGCUGUGCAAAUUCGAAAGAAGCCGUAUACAGCCUGACACCUGCCCGGUGCCGGAAGGUUAAGAGGAGGGCUCAUACUUAUGUAGAAGGCCCGAAUUGAAGCCCCGGUAAACGGCGGCCGUAACUAUAACGGUCCUAAGGUAGCGAAAUUCCUUGUCGGGUAAGUUCCGACCUGCACGAAUGGUGUAAUGAUCCGGACACUGUCUCAACCGUGAUCC